AGAAGGAUCAAACAUUAUUCAAAACACACACCUUAAUCAUUAUUCUUAACAAUUAACAAAAAAACUCAUUACUUAGGAGUGGAAACUACACAACGCUCUUCUAUGAAGUGUAUGAAGAUAAAUAUAUCAUCAUUAUAAAAUUAUUAAUGAUGUACAUGAAUAUUCACUGCGAAGAGACUUUUCUAAAUAAGCGUCACUUUUAUUAAAGUGUCAAUUAUUAAAAAAAAACUUUUAUUCGUCCUUCGCCAGUGUUAGGCUAAUCAUUUAACUUAAGCAUAUCAUUAAAUGAUUAAUAAAAUCAAAGAGAGUUACAAAGUAUAGGCGAUUGAAAUGUAACAAAUAUGCUAAGAAUCUUAGUUGUUUAGCAUAGCAUCAUCUCAAAAAAUGCUCUAGUCAGCAUACCAAAGAAAAUACAAGUUUCUUAUGAGAUGAAUGUAAUUAAAUUAAAUAACACUUUUUGGAAGUAAAGUGCAAAACGAUAUAUAUUUAUCGUAAUAUUAAAAGAGAGCGGUUAGUGAUAGCAUACAAGUACUGUAAAGGAAAGUUGAAAAAUACUUUUAAAUGAGGAUGAAAAUGAAACUUCUAAGUUGAAAGCCUUACUCUGUAAGGGCCCGUCUUGAAACACGGAUCAAGGAGCUAAAAAAACAUAACAAUUCAUUCGUUUAAGCGAAAUGAAAUGAAAAUAUUCAAUUAUGGUUUUUUAAACCCGAAAGGUGAUGAUCUACACUUGAAAAGAAUGAAGUCAGGGGAAACUCUGAUGGAAGUUCGAAGUUGUGCUGACGUGCAAAUCGCUAAUCAUAUUUGAGUGUAGGGGCGAAAGACCAAUCGAAUCACCUAGUAGCUGGUACUCUC
rnacentral:misc_RNA from 1 species